rnacentral:rRNA from 1 species
CCUACGGGUGGCAGCAGUGAGGAAUAUUGGUCAAUGGCCGAGAGGCUGAACCAGCCAAGUCGCGUGAGGGAAGACGGCCCUACGGGUUGUAAACCUCUUUUGUCGGGGAGCAAAGCGAGUCACGUGUGGCUCAUUGAGAGUACCCGAAGAAAAAGCAUCGGCUAACUCCGUGCCAGCAGCCGCGGUAAUACGGAGGAUGCGAGCGUUAUCCGGAUUUAAUGGGCGUAAAGGGGGCGCAGGCGGACUUGUAAGUCAGGUGUGAAAAUGGUGGGCUUAACCCGAGUAAUGCAUUUGAACCUGGAUGCCUUGAGUGCGCAAGAGGAGUGCGGAACGCGAGGUGUAGCGGUGAAAUGCAUAGAUAUCUCGCAGAACUCCGAUUGCGAAAGCAGCUCUCUGGUGUGCAACUGACGCUGAGGUACGAAAGCGUGGGUAGCGAACAGGAUUAGAUACCCUGGUAGUC